UCUUAAUGGUGCCUCUACAAUGAAUUUCAGAUUUGAUCUGAUCAAAUCUGAUUCUAUGAGUUCACUAGAUUGUAUCAGUUCUUCUAUCUGUCGAACUUCAUAUGUUUCACAUUAAAUGCAUCAAUACCUUCACCAAGGUACUCUUUUUUUUUGAAAAGAAUGCUGAACAACUCUUGUUCUUUAGCAUGGUAGAAGUUAUACCCCUUAGAUCCUUUGGAGUUAUCCUAUAAAAUAAUAUAUAUAUAUAUAUAUAGGAUCAAGAUCCAAGCUAAUCUAUCUGUAAAUGCUUGACAUAAAAUAAAUACUCCCAAACCC
rnacentral:lncRNA from 1 species